rnacentral:snoRNA from 1 species
AACAAUAACUUUGUUUGCCAGCAUCUACGUUGAGACUUCUCAACGUAGUAUCGACAUGCAGCGCUUGCUCUCCAUUGGCCUGCUUGUUUUCGCUCUGGCAUAGAUGAAUUGAACUCGUUGCUGGGCACCCGGUUUUGAGAAUGUCGUCUUGACUUCUUGGACAAGCCGGGAAUCAGCUGUAGGCACAUGC